ensembl:lncRNA
CCGGGCCUGUUUGGACCUGGAUUCUGGUCUUUCAGUGACUAAAGAGGAGGAGAGCCAAUGUCCAGGGCCGCUGGUAGAGGAGAGGCUCUGUCCAGAUGCUAACAUCUGCAGAGAUCUGUGUCAGUGGAGUGCAUGGAGUGCAUGGACAGCAUGUGCAGAGCCAUGCAGUGGUGGUGUCAGGCAGCGCUACAGAUGGCCCCUGGCUUCUCCGGCAGGACCUCAGUGUAGAAGCCAACAGACACAAAGCCAGAGCUGCAACACGGGACUCUGCCCAGGGGAACACUGUGAGGACAGGGGACGCACUUACCAAGAGACCUGUGCCAAUCACUGUCCUCGCAGCUGCACUGACUUAUGGGAGCAUGUGCAGUGUCUCCAAGGAGCCUGUCACCCAGGUUAACACUAAUAAUAGCUUCUUCUUAAUAAAAUAUUUUGUU